CAGUUUGUAAGUUUCAUUCCGCCGUUCGAAAUAGCUGCCUAGCUGUUGUUUCUUUUCUUUCGGUACGAUGAGUUGACUGUGUUCAUGGGCGAUGGGACUAGGCAUCUACAUUUAGCGACGCAGAUCCUGAUAAUAAAUACACCUCUAUAGAAGUUUAGGACCAGUUAUAGCUUCAAGGAUGUUCUUCCCAGACGUGACUCUCUCAGCCAUAAAUUACGCGCUUGUGUGGGGAAUAACGUGCUUGACUAUCUGCAGCAAUUUCACCCAAAGUUCUUCUGAGUUUUCAGCUCCUGCCAGCUAGUCCCACACAAGCAACAAUGAGAUGUGAAGGCUACCUGUCCAAAGUCUUGAGGAACUACACAGAACAGGCCUGCGAUGGAGAAUACUUCUCAGUACACUGUCCACCCAGCACAACCAUCAGCAUUCAAUCCUCUUUCUAUGGCAGAAGAGGCUCUGCACCCCAGC